CCGCGGGAGAGGAGAGCAGGGCGCCCGCUUCGUCCCACCGCCGCGCCGCAGCCCCGGGGACAGUGAAGGGACAGCGAGGGGCCGGGCCUGGCACCGACGCAGGCUGGGGGAGCGCGGGCGGUGGAAGGCGGCGUGCAUCGAACAGGAAGUGCACGGCGUGCCGCGCCGCUCGCCCGCUCCCCCCGCCGCUUAACGCCGCCCCCGGGUGGCCGCGCGCUGUCGCCUGCCUGGCGGGCGGCGGCUCCCCUCCCCUGCGGUCGCGGCGGCGCGGGGCUCGGUCGGAGCUGAUUGCUGAUCCACCUCGUCCCCCAACGUCUCCGUUGAUGCCUGACCCCCUGAAACACGCACACGCGCCCUGUGCCCCGCAGACCUCGCACGGCGGAAGCAUUGGGUUUCGGUGGGACGCGCAUUGACCCGCACGUGCUUCCCGGAAAACCGCGGCCCCGGGUCCCUGCCCGCCGGCGUGCGGACCUGAAUGCGCGCAGGGGGCGGUGUGUGUUGCUGGGGGAGUGCGGGUUUUCACCCCCCGAGCCCACCCCACCUGGCUGUUUUCAGGUUCGACAAGAAUUGCGCGGUGGAUCCGCGUCCAGAAUGAAGCCGGACAGGAAAAGCGUCCUCGUCCUGGAAUAGUGCUUGCCUAACAGAAGGGUGAUGAGGCUCUGGAGGGGGCCACUGUCUGGAUUCAGACACCUAGUGGCCAUCCCCGCCCCACAGGUGUGGAAUUUCUUGCUUUGACCUUUUUCUGACCGGCUGCCUUCCGGAGACAGGAGACUGCAUGAUUCCACUAACCGCUGGAAACGUUGGUUGGAAGCAGGAAAGAGUGGGCCUUUAGCCUAUGUGAUGGAGUUUAAGGGACCAAGGACCACCCUUACCCACUCAAAAUUACUCCCCAACUGUCAUUUCAGUUUCUUCUGUUUAGCUUAAAAUGUUAAUCCCUGUCACAAUAAUUUGCCAGGGAUGAAAUCACACCAUUUGAUGAGAACUGGUUUUGAAAGGAAAGACAGAGAAGUGGGGAGGGAGCAAGUUGAUGGAAGGGAAGUUUAGGAAGAAGCACAGGGAGGGGAUUCAGACUGAGGAAGCCCAGUGUUAUUUCUCGCACUAAAUGCUGGGCCUGGGGCCUGUGCUGGUUGAUGGGCAGUGUUUAACAAGUGUUAUAAUAUGUACUUUUGUCAGUUGAUUUGUGUAAAUAUGCCCAAUCGUUCAUUAAUAAAAUUAAUUUGUUCUCUGAGUUUA